GCUGCAGGCCCCGCCCCCACGCGUUUCGCGCUGCGCGGGGGUUGCCGUGACAACGCGGCGCCACAUGCCCCGGCCAAGGCCAGGGAGGGGGCGGGGCUCGCGGAAAGCUCCACCUCCCCGCUUCCAAUGCCAGGCCUGAAUAUAAAUAAGCAAGAGAAUGGUCCGUGGUCGCGCGUGGUGACGCUGAUGGGAGUCCAAGCUGGCGCUGAAGGCCCGGUCGCCAGCAGCGCACGCCAGGAGGCAGCAGUGCACAAUCUCCCCAAACCGAGGGUCACGUGUGCCCGGUCACCUUUAGAACAGGGAACGAUGAUAAUAUAAUAGAUGCAGCUCCACCAGGUGGAUUGUCAAAGAUGGCACAGAUGACGAAGGGGGAUUUUGAUGGAAACACGCUUGGCACUAUCCGCCUGACCGCACACCUGAGAUAGCAAGGGCACACUCCUAGAACUGUCUUUGUGCAAGGGCACAGCAGCACCCACAGAGGAAGGAGGGCUGCAAUGGGCGUAGCCAGGAUUUAUUUUGGAGGGAGGCAGGCAUUAUGUUGCGUGGGGGGCAGAACUGAGUUAUCUGUGAUGCCCUUCUCUAUGGGGUCAUAAUUCCAUACAUGGGAUAUUUGGAACAGGAUGGUGUAGAUCUGGUACAGGAUCACAACGUGGCAAGCAACAAUUUCGGAGGCAGAAGCAACUCCCCUGCAAGAAGAAGGUUACAACAUUUGGGACUUUUUAGUUUGGAAGAAGCCUUGCCCACCCUGCUCCGGAGACCAGUCUGCAACCUGUUCCCUUUAAACAAAACACCUGAAGGAGAAAGAAGAAAAGUUAGUCUGUUUCUUUAAAUAAACAGAAUGUUCUUUA